UGAUUCAGAUAUUCCUUGGUAGCAGUGGAGGUCACGAUGUUGAAGGAAACGAGCUUCCUCGUCUUGUUUAUGUGUCUCGUGAGAAAAGACCUGGUUUCCUACAUCACAAAAAAGCUGGUGCCAUGAAUGCCCUGGUAAGAAUCAUGAACAUUGUUUUCAAUCUUUUUUUCACACAGAACUCUUUUAACAUUUGUUUACAUAUAUUUUCAGAUUCGAGUUUCCGGGGUACUUACCAACGCUCCUUUCAUGCUGAACUUGGACUGUGACCAUUAUGUGAACAACAGCAAGGCUGCUAGAGAAGCCAUGUGUUUCUUAAUGGACCCUCAGAUAGGAAAAAAGGUCUGCUAUGUUCAGUUCCCUCAAAGAUUUGAUGGUAUUGAUAGGCACGACCGUUAUGCCAACAGAAAUACAGUCUUCUUUGAUGUAAGUCACUGAAAAAUUAUCAAAACAAAUGUUGUUAUGUAAGAAUUAAAGGAAGAGAUUAAGUUGAAAUUUCAUUUAAAUUUGCAGAUUAACAUGAAAGGUCUAGAUGGAAUUCAAGGUCCUGUAUAUGUGGGUACUGGCUGUGUAUUUAGAAGACAAGCUUUAUAUGGCUAUGAACCUCCGAAGGGGCCCAAGCGCCCGAAGAUGGUAAGCUGUGAUUGCUGCCCCUGCUUUGGACGCCGCAAGAAGCAUAGGAAAUAUUCUAAGGGCGAACAAAAUGGAGAAGCCCCUAGCUUUGAAGGUUUGCUUGAUUCUUCAACUUGCUACUUGGACAGUUAAAUAGGGAGGCGCUUAUCUCUUGAAAUUUUCAUAACUAAAUUUACUUACCUCUCUCAAUGAAUAUGUAUGUAUCAGUUGGAAUGGAGGAUGAUAAGGAAUUAUUGAUGUCCCAAAUGAACUUUGAGAAGAAAUUUGGGCAGUCCGCAAUUUUUGUGACUUCAACUUUGAUGGAAGAAGGUGGGGUUCCUCCUUCCUCUAGCCCUGCAGCUCUACUUAAGGAGGCCAUUCAUGUGAUCAGCUGUGGAUAUGAAGAUAAAACUGAAUGGGGGACUGAGGUAAUCGCAAUAAUGACUUAAUAUUUGCCAACAUUCCAUUCCCAGAUUUCUGAUAUCUUUAACCUGGAUUAAGAGGAAUUGUGCUAGGAUGUAAAUGCAGGAUCAUAUAGUAAACCAUGAAUGACUCAUCAUAAACACGAAAUUCUAAAUCAUUUGAAAUUCUGUUACUUCUUUAUGUGCAGCUGGGUUGGAUUUACGGAUCAAUUACAGAGGAUAUUCUAACAGGUUUCAAGAUGCAUUGUCGUGGUUGGAGGUCUAUAUACUGUAUGCCAAAGAGACCCGCAUUUAAGGGUUCUGCUCCCAUCAACUUGUCUGAUCGGCUCAACCAAGUGCUUCGAUGGGCACUUGGAUCUGUUGAAAUCUUCUUUAGUCGCCACAGUCCUGUUUGGUAUGGCUACAAGGGAGGCAAUCUCAAGUGGCUAGAGAGAUUUGCAUAUGUGAAUACUACUAUUUACCCUUUUACCUCUGUACCUCUCCUUGCUUACUGCCUCCUCCCUGCUAUCUGCCUGCUUACUGAUAAAUUCAUCAUGCCAUCUGUAAGUAAAACAAUUCUUGUUUUCACUAGAUGAAAUUAAAUGAAUUCUGCAUAUAAAUAAACUUACUCCGGCUUCAAUCCCAAUGCAGAUAAGUACAUUGGCAAGUCUCUUCUUCAUUGCCCUCUUUGUUUCAAUCUUUGCUACCGGUAUCCUUGAGAUGAAGUGG
rnacentral:lncRNA from 1 species